rnacentral:rRNA from 1 species
GUGCCAGCAGCCGCGGUAAUACGUAGGGUGCGAGCGUUGUCCGGAAUUACUGGGCGUAAAGAGCUCGUAGGUGGUUUGUCGCGUCGUCUGUGAAAUCCCGGGGCUUAACUUCGGGCGUGCAGGCGAUACGGGCAUAACUAGAGUGCUGUAGGGGAGACUGGAAUUCCUGGUGUAGCGGUGAAAUGCGCAGAUAUCAGGAGGAACACCGAUGGCGAAGGCAGGUCUCUGGGCAGUUACUGACGCUGAGGAGCGAAAGCAUGGGUAGCGAACAGGAUUAGAUACCCUGGUAGUCCAUGCCGUAAACGGUGGGCGCUAGGUGUGGGGGUUUUAUUUACGAUUCCCGUGCCGUAGCUAACGCAUUAAGCGCCCCGCCUGGGGAGUACGGCCGCAAGGCUAAAACUCAAAGGAAUUGACGGGGGCCCGCACAAGCGGGCGGAGCAUGUGGAUUAAUUCGAUGCAACGCGAAGAACCUUACCUGGGCUUGACAUACACCGGAUCGCUGCAGAGAUGUAGUUUUCUCUUUGUGGCUGGUGUACAGGUGGUGCAUGGUUGUCGUCAGCCUCGUGUCGUGAGAUGUUGGGUUAAGUCCCCGCAACGAGCGCAACCCUUUGUCUUGUGUUGCCAGCACGUUAUGGUGGGGACUCGCGAGAGACCUGCCGGGGUUAACUCGGAGGAAGGUGGGGAUGACGUCAAAUCAUCAUGCCCCUUUAUGUCCAGGCUUCCACACAUGCUACAUGUCGGUACAGUGGGUUGCGAUACCGUGAGUGGAGCUAAUCUCUUAAGCCGUCUCAGUUCGAUUGAGUCUGCAACUCGACUCAUGAGUCGAGUCGCUAGUAUCGCAGAUCAGCACGCUGCGUUGAUACGUUUCCCGG